rnacentral:rRNA from 1 species
GAUGAACACUGGCGGCGUGCCUAAUACAUGCAAGUCGAGCGAAUGGAUUAAGAGCUUGCUCUUAUGAAGUUAGCGGCGGACGGGUGAGUAACACGUGGGUAACCUGCCCAUAAGACUGGGAUAACUCCGGGAAACCGGGGCUAAUACCGGAUAACAUUUUGAACCGCAUGGUUCGAAAUUGAAAGGCGGCUUCGGCUGUCACUUAUGGAUGGACCCGCGUCGCAUUAGCUAGUUGGUGAGGUAACGGCUCACCAAGGCAACGAUGCGUAGCCGGCCUGCGAGGGUUAUCGGCCACACUGGGACUGAGACACGGCCCAGACUCCUACGGGAGGCAGCAGUAGGGAAUCUUCCGCAAUGGACGAAAGUCUGACGAGCAACGCCGCGUGAGUGAUGAAGGCUUUCGGGUCGUAAAACUCUGUUGUUAGGGAAGAACAAGUGCUAGUUGAAUAAGCUGACACCUUGACGGUACCUAACCAGAAAGCCACGGCUAACUACGUGCCAGCCGCCGCUGUAA